rnacentral:rRNA from 1 species
AGUAACGCGUGGAUAACCUGCCUCACACUGGGGGAUAACAGUUAGAAAUGACUGCUAAUACCGCAUAAGCGCACAGUACCGCAUGGUACAGUGUGAAAAACUCCGGUGGUGUGAGAUGGAUCCGCUCUGAUUAGCCAGUUGGCGGGGUAACGGCCCACCAAAGCGACGAUCAGUAGCCGACCUGAGAGGGUGACCGGCCACAUUGGGACUGAGACACGGCCCAA